AGCUUGGAAUUUGUGUUUAAUAUAUUACAGCUUGCAAUGCCAACCCUAGGAUUCCUUGUUUUCUCUCUUUCUACUCCAGCCCCGGCGCCGCCUUCUUACAAUCUUACUUCGUAAUCUCUCACGAAAUUUCCUUCGAUUUGGAAGGCAAUCCAAAUCGCUCCAUGGAUUGUGUUGAUGGUGUAUUCGCUGUUAAAGGAUUCAUAUUAGAGUAUGAGAUCGUGAUUAGGGAUUGCGAUGCAAUUGGAAUAUCUCACGGAUAACUCCUAUCAAUAGGAAUGGGUGGCAUAGGAAAUGAUCGAUAUAUUGUACAGUGACAAGUAUUUGCCAAGUCAAUUUUGGAGUAUAAGAAUUUAUGCAAUGUAUUCGAGACCAAAUUAUCUUCUAUUCUUGGAAGAUUGAAUGUGCAAAAAAGCUCAAUGGGGAUGUCGUAUUAAGUGCACAGUGUGGGAUCACCAUGUUGAGAUUGUCAUGCAUCAUUUCAAGACUCAUGUUGAAGGUCCUUCGAUUAUUUUUCUCCAAUUUUGUCGAGCAAAACAAUUGGACAAUGAAGUCAGAAUUUCAAGUUCACAAUGCUACACAAGUAUGAUUUAAUCAUGAGGGCAAGGAAUUUCAGGAUUUCAAAGAUAGUUUGAAGGUUGAUCACAGCCCACCUAGAAGCAUACAUAGUUUGUCUGUGAUGUCUUAUGCCAACAGUGCAGAGAAUUCUAAGUCUUGUGUAUGAUAGUAAGCACUAUCAAGGAUCUAUAUGAAAGUGCAGAGGAAGGAAACUACUGGGUUCUUGAAAGGAUUGUGUCAGUUGAGAGUAACAGGAAUUGGUACUACCAUUCCUAUAGAGCUGAUGGCUGCUUUAAGAAGCUGCAGAUGAAGGAUGGAUCUCUUAUAUGUCCAACAUGUCACACAAAUUGGCAAGAGGAUACCUUAAGAUACAACCCACAAAUUGGCAAGAGGAUACCUUAAGAUACAAGCUGAUUGUUAGGGAUGACUCUCCACUACCAACUGGUAUGGAAGAGGUUUGUAACAAGGCAAUGGUGUUUAAGGUUUUAGCUAAAGUUGAUCAUUUCAAGAACCGAGCCAUGUCUAUACCAGUUGUCGGGAUAACUUAUGAUGCAGAUUUAGUUCAGCAUUAUUGUCCAUCUUUGAGUGAUGAUCAGGACUACCUUUCCAACAUGCUUGAUGAAGAUGAUCAAGAUGGACAGUCUGAAAUAUAUUGUAUAGUGACAAGUAUUUGCUAAGUCAAUCUUCACCGUGUCUCCGUGGGCCAUCUGGUUCCCAACUCUCAUCGGGCGUGGGCUGCUUUCAUCGUCCGGUGUCUCGAAGUGGGCAUACGCCCCAACCUUGACCUCUUUCACGCGUUCUUCCUUCAUUUAAGGAGAGCAAGUGUUAUAUGGCGUUCUCGGCUCGGACGGGGUGAAGGUUCUCGGUAGCGACGGGAUUUCAACAAGGUUUCAACAAGGGUUGGAAAUCUUGGUUCGUGUUCAUCUUUACUGCCGCGUCGCUCCCUUUUGAGGUUCUAAUUAUAAGAGUAGAAGAAUUUAUGUAACGAAUUCGAGACCAAAUUAUCGUCUAUUUUUAGAAAAUUGAAUGUGCAAAAAAGCUCAACAAAUAAUGGUAAGAUGCUAAAAUUUUUCUUACACUAAAAAUAUUCAGAGUGAUAGAGCUUGCACUUUAUGAGAUCACUAUGCCUAAAAGUCACUGAUAUUUGAUACAGAUCACUAUGCUUAUUAGAAUAAUAGAAUCGUAAUUCCAAGAAAUUGAAAGUUGAUGCAUCAGAAAUUAUGCUAACAAUUGAGUAUAUAUGUUUUUGUAGUUGAGAUUAUUUGAUAAAUUUGUGCCUUAUUUUCUCGCUACUGUGAUUCAACAAUUGUCCUGUGCGCUGUAACUUAUGUUUGGAAAACCUUAUAUAAUUUGUGUUAAUAUACUUGGUCCAAGAUUGCAAUGAUG